CGGAGAAUGGCGAUUUAAGUUCUGCAUUUAAAUGGGGCCAGCAGCAUACUGCUCUAUUUAUUCUAUUGAGGGGGGAGAACGAUGAGCUGUUCACCGGAGUGAAAUACUCAGCAAGUGUGGCUUGGGGUAAAGAAACAAUCGUUUAUUUAUAUCGUAAGUUAGUUUAUAAAAAUUAUUAUAGGCCAUUUAUGUAUCUACAUUUGACCAUCUUGUAAAGGUUACUUAAAUUAGCCCUCGUUAACAGCAGGACAGAUACAACAUCCCCAGAAAUCGUUUACUACGAUAUCCUAUUUUGGGUUAUUAAAGAAAGAAAGAC